rnacentral:rRNA from 1 species
UACGAAGGGUGCAAGCGUUAAUCGGAAUUACUGGGCGUAAAGCGUGCGCAGGCGGUUUUGCAAGACAGAUGUGAAAUCCCCGGGCUUAACCUGGGAACUGCAUUUGUGACUGCAAGGCUAGAGUGUGUCAGAGGGAGGUGGAAUUCCGCGUGUAGCAGUGAAAUGCGUAGAGAUGCGGAGGAACACCGAUGGCGAAGGCAGCCUCCUGGGAUAACACUGACGCUCAUGCACGAAAGCGUGGGGAGCAAACAGG